UGCUCCAGAACCAGGCCACAAGGUCUCACCACCAUCCUGGCAGGAGGAGGUCAAUGGAUGUGCAGGAGAUGUCUUACAUACUUCUGACUCCGCUGCAGGAGACAGCACCAGCUUAGGCUGUGCAACUGCACACCAACUACAGCCAGUCAGCAGAGCAGAGAAAACUCUACCUGUGAGAAAAAAAUCCCAAUUUGCAAGUAUUGCGUUCAGUGCACAGCACUUGGGGGUCUGUCCGAACUGCUGAAACCUCGUUCUUCUUAAUGAAGCCUUUGUCUGAGGAUCUUGAAAAGGCAAAACAAAAGAGAGUGGUAGUGUUACAGAAAAGAAACCAUGAGACCAAAUGAUUUCCAAGACAGCAAAAUCUAAAAAACACUGUAUUGACAAAUAAAUAUAUAAAAUAUUGCCCCAGGCUCUGAGACUGAGACUCUCAGAAAACCCCCAUGACCUCAGUCUCCUGCUGAAGACCUGCAGAUGCAGCUAAGCCAACUGAACAGGACCCUCUUCUCACCUGCAGCCCAUGCUGUCUCCCAGCCUCCUGCUGCACAAACUGAUCAGGACAUUCAGAGCAAGAUGCCAGCACAUGUACAUGUGUACAUAUCAGUUGUUCAGGAGCACACAUUAGCUGCCUCUACCUCCCUGCUGCUUUAGACACUGGACACGGGAUGUUUGAUGCAGACUGCAUCAAUACACCUUUUGCAUCACAACAAAGUGUCAUGCCUUUCACCACCAUGGACGACCAAGACACUCAAGAAGAAAGCCCUGGGUAGGGUACAGUUCCCAAUCUGAAGGCCAACAGCAAGCCACCCUCCUCUGCAGGGCCCUGAGAAAGAAAAAACUUUGAAGUGCACCAUGAAGGUAAUAAAUCUAGGGGGGGAAAGGUCACAAACAUCUAGAAGACUUCCCCUCUGUGGAGAGGAUGCUUGCUUUGUCAUCUCUGCCAGUUCCCACAGCAGCACCAUCAUGGAGGGGAAAAGGGUAAUCUCCCUGAUGGUUAGAUCUCAUGCCAUUCAGCUAUUCACAUGGCCAAACCAAAACCUUGAAUUUCAUUUCAUAAGUUGAUAAGGCACACCAGAAUCUCACCAAGUGAUGUCAUGCAAAAAUCCAAAUGCGCAGCCUGAACCCACAGGUCUUCUUAAAGAUAAACAGUGAUCACAUUUAAGAUCAUAUUCACUUUUUGGGCUGAA